rnacentral:rRNA from 1 species
CACGUAGGGGGCAAGCGUUGUCCGGAUUUAUUGGGCGUAAAGAGCUCGUAGGCGGCUCAGUAAGUCAGGUGUGAAACCUCCAGGCUCAACCUGGAGACGCCACCCGAUACUGCUGUGGCUAGAGUCCGGUAGGGGAGCGUGGAAUUCCUGGUGUAGCGGUGAAAUGCGCAGAUAUCAGGAGGAACACCAGCGGCGAAGGCGGCGCUCUGGGCCGGAACUGACGCUGAGGAGCGAAAGCGUGGGUAGCAAACAGG